UUCCUCUGUUGCCCAGGCUGAGGUGCUGUGGUAUGAUCUCGGCUCACUGCAACCUCCACCUCCUGGGCUCGGGUGAUCUUCCUGCCUCAGCCUCCCAAGUAGCUGGGACUAUAGGGUCGCACCACCACACCUGGGUAAUUUUUUGUAUUGUUUUGUAGAGACGGGGUGGGGGGUGUCUCUUCAUGCUGCCUGGGCUGGUCUCGAAUUCCUGGGCUUAAGCGAUCCGCCUGCCUCAGCCUCCCAAAAUGCUGGGAUUACAGGCUUGAGCCACUGCCCGGCUAGUAUGGGUAUAUUAUUAAUAUAUGUUCCCCACCUCCUCUCAGUUCCCCAAGCACACCCCUACCUUCCCCAGUCUCCCAUCUCCCAGAAGACUCCUUCCUUCAGCUGCUCCAAACUGUGGCCAGGUGUGAGCCAGCAUAGUUCCAGGGCAGAAGCGUGCCUCCUCCUGCAGGCAGGCCUCCUGGGUAGCCAGGUUGGAGCCUGGAGACAGAGAGGCCAAGGCAGGUUCCACCUUGUCCACUGGGGGUUCCCAUUGUCCCUGCUCUCCCCUGUCACUCCUGUCUUUCAGUUGCAACGCUGGCCCUGGGACUUCAGGCACAUGACCCCACUCAGAAGAAACAAGACUGUGUGCCCAGCUCCCACAGCAGUCAAAUCCCUGCAGUGGGCUGCUCAUUCUACAUCACUCCUAGUGGUUCUGCUUCCUUAAACCCCAGCCAAACAAUGUGUCAUAAAGGAACAAUUCCCUUCUGGAAUGUUCCUCCUUCUGAGGCUUUGAGAAGGCUCACUCUGGGGAGCGGAUGGGGUGAGUCCUGGGAGUGAGUGGCACCUCUUUCCUCACUUAGAGCCUAGGUGGGGGUGAGGAGGGUGAGAAAAGGAAGGGGCCAGAAGAGGGUGAGGAGAGGAGCCCCAGGCCUUGGGGAGAAGCCCAG
rnacentral:lncRNA from 10 species